GACAGAGGCCUCGAGCGUUAGGCGGAAUCACUGGGCUUAAAGCGUGUGUAGGCGGAGUGCUAAGUACCUUGUGAAAUCCCACGGCUCAACCGUGGAACUGCUUGGUAUACUGGUUCUCUUGAGCCACCUAGGGGCAACCGGAACAAACGGUGGAGCGGUGAAAUGCGUAGAUAUCGUUUGGAACGCCAAUGGUGAAAACAGGUUGCUGGGGGUGUGCUGACGCUGAGACACGAAAGCCAGGGGAGCAAACGGG
rnacentral:rRNA from 1 species